GAUGAACGCUGGCGGCGUGCCUAAUACAUGCAAGUCGAGCGAACAGACGAGGAGCUUGCUCCUCUGACGUUAGCGGCGGACGGGUGAGUAACACGUGGAUAACCUACCUAUAAGACUGGGAUAACUUCGGGAAACCGGAGCUAAUACCGGGUAAUAUAUUGAACCGCAUGGUUCAAUAGUGAAAGACGGUUUUGCUGUCACUUAUAGAUGGAUCCGCGCCGCAUUAGCUAGUUGGUAAGGUAACGGCUUACCAAGGCAACGAUGCGUAGCCGACCUGAGAGGGUGAUCGGCCACACUGGAACUGAGACACGGUCCAGACUCCUACGGGAGGCAGCAGUAGGGAAUCUUCCGCAAAGGGCGAAAGCCUGACGGAGCAACGCCGCGUGAGUGAUGAAGGUCUUCGGAUCGUAAAACUCUGUUAUUAGGGAAGAACAAAUGUGUAAGUAACUAUGCACGUCUUGACGGUACCUAAUCAGAAAGCCACGGCUAACUACGUG
rnacentral:rRNA from 1 species